rnacentral:lncRNA from 1 species
AAACAUCAUCAUAAUAUGGUUCCAAUCGUCACUCUAAUCCCACCGCAUUACUAAUCUCCAAAAUAUAAUUUUAAAAAAACAAUUAUUCAACAUCUCAUAAAGAGUAAAGUUAUAUUAUUACUCAUCAACUCUAAUUCAUCCAAUACUUGAAAUUUCUCAAUUUUGUUAUUAUAUUAGUCAUAACUCAAAAGAGUCCUGAAAAAGCUCAAAAAUAGCUUAACAUCUCUCAACUCUCUAAUU